rnacentral:tRNA from 1 species
GUGGCUCAGUUGGUAGAGCAUGGUGUUUGCAAUGCCAGGGGUGUGGGUUCAAUUCCCUCC